AACGAACGCUGGCGGCAGGCUUAACACAUGCAAGUCGAGCGCCCCGCAAGGGAGCGGCAGACGGGUGAGUAACGCGUGGGAAUCUACCCAUCUCUACGGAAUAACGCAUGGAAACGUGUGCUAAUACCGUAUACGUCCUUCGGGAGAAAGAUUUAUCGGAGAUGGAUGAGCCCGCGUUGGAUUAGCUAGUUGGUGGGGUAAAGGCCUUCCAAGGCGACGAUCCAUAGCUGGUCUGAGAGGAUGAUCAGCCACACUGGGACUGAGACACGGCCCAGACUCCUACGGGAGGCAGCAGUGGGGAAUAUUGGACAAUGGGCGCCAGCCUGAUCCAGCCAUGCCGCGUGAGUGAUGAAGGCCCUAGGGUUGUAAAGCUCUUUCACCGGUGAAGAUAAUGACGGUAACCGGAGAAGAAGCCCCGGCUAACUUCGUGCCAGCCGCCGCCGUAACAC
rnacentral:rRNA from 1 species